rnacentral:sRNA from 1 species
UAAUUGUCUGGCAGUACAGGUGCAACUA